AAGGGAAAUGAGAUGAAGAACGAGGAGAAAGAGCAAGAGGGUGAAUGCAAAAGCAGAAGGCACCCACUGCUCUGUCCUUGCCUGGCUUUUGAUGCUCUUUCUCUGGCUCUUGGACCUGCAAGUUUAAGCCCACUCUGAAGUACUAGAGAGAAAAAUUCUGCUUUGGCUGAUUUUUAGAGAGAAUAAAAGCAACAAGGUGCUCUGAAGAGAGAAGCAGUAAAUGCUGUGUAACAGGUUUCCAGGUGGCUGCAUCAAAACCAGGAUUCAAUAGCCUAUAUUGCCCUGGAAAGACACCAGACGUGGUGAUGUGAUGUCAAUCCCUCCAGCUCACCUUUCUCCUGGGGGUCUGUGCAGCUCCCUCUGGUCCCUCAGCUGCUGGAGGUUACCUUGGAGUCUACAAACUCUCAACACCACGACUCACUCUAUAAAUGUAAGUGCAGGGGGGGCUUUGCCAUUUUUUAGCCUCUCUUUUGAGCUAUAUUUCUAGGAGGAAGGAAAAUGUAAUGGCACAGGACCAGCCACAGACAACUGAUGAACCCCUGUGGUUUUAAAAUGAGCACUGACAGAAAAGAUGUCUACUGCCUGGUGCAACCAGCUUUUCAGAUGUGAACUGGGGGAACUGGGAAGAUCUGUGGUUCCUUUUUGGAGCUGACUGGGGAGAGGCAGAGGGGAAGAACCAGUGUGACUGCUCCAAUCUAGGACUGUUCUACCUGCUGGCCUUCAAUAGGUGAGCUGAAGGAAAAUACUGCAACAGUCAUCAAUUGUAUUGUUUUCUAAACAAUGUGAAUCUCUUUUUCUUAUUUUUUAAUCUUUGAGAAUAAAAUAGGCUCCAGAACUCAGAAACCCAGGGCAAAAUCUGUCUCUGUAUGUAAGUGCUGGACUUGCCAUGUGCUCCUAUAGAUAGAUAUCUGUGUGGCUCCACAAACUCACUACCUUCCCUGGAGAGCUCUCAGUGUAUUUAAGUGAUCCAGAUGUGCUCCCUGGGAGCUGUGCCCCUGCUUCCAAGAAGGACUAAGAGACAGAGAUAGGUCUCAUUCUGCUUAAAUUCAGAUAUGUAACAUUUACU
ensembl:lncRNA